CAGACGGGAACAACUUCCAACUUUGUCCGACAUUUGAAGUUGCAUAAAGAACGAACCACAAUUCCAUCGCUGAACUUCCUCCUGCGCCGUCGGAUGGAGCUUGGCACGCUCCCUUCAAGCUUCCAUCUUGUGGACGAUCUCCUCAGUCACUCCUUCGCAUGGCACCUCACGACACCUGCAAGUCUGGGGACUGAGAUGACCAUUCCAGAACGUUGUACUUGUUCCUCUGCAUGAAUGCCUUAGUGGAUUUUGAGCAGUGUUUUGGGCCGGCGCAGCUUCAGCUUUGUCACUGAUUCCUGGACAUUGGUCUCCAGAAU